CCCAACGAUGGUACUAAACAGCAAGGAGCAAAGCAGUUAGGCUCGGAGUCGGAGGAGGUGUGGCUGUGUGCCGUGGGGGCUUUCACGACUCACGAGACUCAGACUCAAAGACUCAAGACUCGAGCGGCCUCUCCUCUCCUCUGUUCGCAGACUCGCGCGCUUAUUCUUCUUGUCGAUUUUUACAGAGUUUCUCCCCCCCCCUCUCUCUCUCUCUCUCUCUCUUUCUCUCUCUAAAAUUUGUAGAAUUCGAUUGAAAUGGCAGCUCUGAUAUCCCACAUCUUCUCGUCGUCGGCGCUGCUGUCAGUGGGGCUCUACCACCUCAUCUGCACCACCCGAAAUCACCUCAAGUCCCCCCGAGACUACAUCGCAAAACCCUACCACCCCUUCCCUUUGUGGGCGUCGUCCUCAUCGUCGUCGUCUUCGUCGCCGUCCUCCUCCUCCUCCUCCUCCUCAUCUUCCUCAACACGCCUAAAGCACGUCCAGCUGUACCUGUUGAUCCUCUAUCUCGUGUUGGCCUUGGGCUACCAGCUCCUCACCUCCUCCGACUCCGACCCUCUCGUCAGGGGCCACACCCCUGUCCAUCGCUUCUCCUCCCUCCAGUCCGCCGCCGUGGUAUUCCUCUUCCUCCUGCUCUCCCUCUCCCUCCUCCUCUCCUCCGCUACCUCCCUCUUCCCCAUCCCCUCUGAUCUCUUCUUCGCCUUCGCCUCCGCCGUAUUCUUCCUCUACUCUUUCGUCUCCUCUUCCUCUUCCUCCGUCCAGAUUUCCGAUCUCCAGGCCAAAUGUGACUCCGUCUUCUCCUGGAUUUCUGCUGCCUCGGCCCUUCUUUGCUUCAUCCUCGCUUGCCAGCCUAGAUUGUUCGUCGCCGACGUGGGGCUUGGCGCUUCCGUCUGUCUCCAGGGGCUUUGGGCCUUGCAGACUGGGUUGUCCCUUUACGUCGAGGCUUUCAUCCCCGAGGGCUGUCAUCGCCUCUUGGAUGUCGUCAAUGGGAUCGAGGGUUCUACCAAGUGUGACCUCGAGGAGUCCAGGCUUAGGGCCAUCGCCAUUCUGGAUCUUGCCUUUGUGAUUCAUGUCACGCUUGUCAUCGUCACUGUGAUGGUCGUUUAUGCGGCCAUUGCUAGGAGUGUUGGUUUGAAAAGGCUUGGCUCCUAUGAGGCGUUGCCUACUAUGUCCUCCGGUGCUGGAGAUUCCAGUCACAGUCACAUCCAGAUGAAGGCUUUGGCAGGAACACAAGCAUGAUCUAAUCAUCUGAGGUUUAUUUCUGGAGGUGGAGGAAACUCAUAUGUGAACACCCUGCCUCAAGAUGACCCAACUGUAGAAGGUGCUUUUUUGGACCCCUUCUGUUCAUGAAUUGAAAAUGAUCUGCAAGAGGCUUUUUUCCUAGACUCUUAAGCAGGAUCUGGUGCAGUUUUUUGUGACUGUUUUGGUCAGAGCACAUAGCGUGAGAACAUUCUGAAGGCCCGCUUUUCCUGGUCUAUUACUUAUUUUCAACCUUUUGCCUCACCUGGGAGCUGGGAGCUGGGAGCUGGGAUCUAAUCACUCAACUACAAGCCUUUUGGCCAUCUUUUGAUGUGCAACUUGCAAUGUCUAUUGUAACUCACUUUGUGGACAUGUUUGUAUCAUCAUUAGUAGUAGGUUAGUCCAGUUGACAGUUCAUCAUUGUUAUGCAUGGAUUUAGUUCUCGGUAUUGGCACCGGUGUUGGAGAGGAUUAGUGCGUAUUGGUUAUUUUUGUCCCUUGCUUUUCAGUAAAAGUAUUUUUUUUUU